AACGAACGCUGGCGGCAUGCCUAACACAUGCAAGUCGAACGAGACCUUCGGGUCUAGUGGCGCACGGGUGCGUAACGCGUGGGAACCUGCCCUUAGGUUCGGAAUAACUCCCCGAAAGGGGUGCUAAUACCGGAUAAUGUCUUCGGACCAAAGAUUUAUCGCCUUUGGAUGGGCCCGCGUUGGAUUAGCUAGUUGGUAGGGUAAAAGCCUACCAAGGCGACGAUCCAUAGCUGGUCUGAGAGGAUGAUCAGCCACACUGGGACUGAGACACGGCACAGACUCCUACGGGAGGCAGCAGUGGGGAAUAUUGGACAAUGGGCGAAAGCCUGAUCCAGCAAUGCCGCGUGAGUGAUGAAGGCCUCAGGGUUGUAAAGCUCUUUUACCCGGGAUGAUAAUGACAGUACCGGGAGAAUAAGCUCCGGCUAACUCCGUG
rnacentral:rRNA from 1 species